rnacentral:rRNA from 1 species
GGGCCCGCACAAGCGGUGGAGCAUGUGGUUUAAUUCGAUGAUACGCGAGGAACCUUACCAGGGCUUAAAUGUUAGGUGACAGAUCUAGAAAUAGAUUUUUCUUCGGACACUUAACAAGGUGCUGCAUGGUUGUCGUCAGCUCGUGCCGUGAGGUGUCAGGUUAAGUCCUAUAACGAGCGCAACCCCUGUUGUUAGUUGCCAGCGAGUAAUGUCGGGAACUCUAGCAAGACUGCCAGUGCAAACUGUGAGGAAGGUGGGGAUGACGUCAAAUCAUCACGGCCCUUACGUCCUGGGCUACACACGUGCUACAAUGGUAGGUACAGAGAGUAACAAAAAAUUUUAGUUAAUCUUUAAAAAUUUCUUAGUUCGGAUUGUAAACUGCAACUCGUUUACAUGAAGUUGGAAUCACAAGUAA